rnacentral:misc_RNA from 1 species
GAUGAAGAACGUAGCGAAAUGCGAUAAGUAAUGUGAAUUGCAGAAUUCAGUGAAUCAUCGAAUCUUUGAACGCACCUUGCGCCUUUUGGUAUUCCGAAAGGCACACCUGUUUGAGCGUCAUGAAUACCUCAAUCUCCAUCUUUUCAUCGGAUUGAUGGGUGACUUGGAUGUUGAGCCCUGCUGGUAUGCUAUAUCAGCUGGCUUUAAACUUAUUAGCCGGCUCUGUACUGGAUCGGUUUGACUCGACGUGAUAAUAUUAUCGUUGAGGAUGCAUGUCUCAUGCAGCCGGAAAGUAUCAAAGCAGCUUCUAGCUUGCCUUUAGUGCACUUUUACAUUUUAGACCUCAGAUCAGGUGGGACUACCCGCUGAACUUAAGCAUAUCAAUAAGCGGAGGA